UCCGACCUCAGAUCGGACGAGAUUACCCGCUGAAUUUAAGCAUAUAACUAAGCGGAGGAAAAGAAACUAACAAGGAUUCCCA
rnacentral:rRNA from 4 species